rnacentral:snRNA from 1 species
UAUUUGGUAAAGUCAACGA